rnacentral:rRNA from 1 species
AGUGAACGCUGGCGGUAGGCCUAACACAUGCAAGUCGAACGGCAGCACAGUAAGAGCUUGCCCUUACGGGUGGCGAGUGGCGGACGGGUGAGGAAUACAUCGGAAUCUACUUUUUCGUGGGGGAUAACGUAGGGAAACUUACGCUAAUACCGCAUACGACCUACGGGUGAAAGCAGGGGAUCUUCGGACCUUGCGCGAUUGAAUGAGCCGAUGUCGGAUUAGCUAGUUGGCGGGGUAAAGGCCCACCAAGGCGACGAUCCGUAGCUGGUCUGAGAGGAUGAUCAGCCACACUGGAACUGAGACACGGUCCAGACUCCUACGGGAGGCAGCAGUGGGGAAUAUUGGACAAUGGGCGCAAGCCUGGUCCAGCCAUACCGCGUGGGUGAAGAAGGCCUUCGGGUUGUAAAGCCCUUUUGUUGGGAAAGAAAAGCAGCAGGUUAAUACCCCGCUGUUCUGACGGUACCCAAAGAAUAAGCACCGGCUAACUUCGUG